rnacentral:rRNA from 1 species
UACGUAGGUGGCAAGCGUUGUCCGGAUUUACUGGGCGUAAAGAGCGCGCAGGCGGUCGGAUAAGUCGAAUGUGAAAGCCCCCGGCUCAACUGGGGAGGGUCACUCGAUACUGUUCGACUCGAAGGCAGGAGAGGGAAGCGGAAUUCCCGGUGUAGUGGUGAAAUGCGUAGAUAUCGGGAGGAACACCAGUGGCGAAGGCGGCUUCCUGGCCUGUUCUUGACGCUGAGGCGCGAAAGCUAGGGGAGCAAACGGG